rnacentral:rRNA from 1 species
UACGAAGGGUGCAAGCGUUAUCCGGAUUCACUGGGUUUAAAGGGUGCGUAGGCGGGCAGGUAAGUCCGUGGUGAAAUCUCUGAGCUUAACUCAGAAACUGCCAUGGAUACUAUUUGUCUUGAAUAUUGUGGAGGUAAGCGGAAUAUGUCAUGUAGCGGUGAAAUGCUUAGAUAUGACAUAGAACACCAAUUGCGAAGGCAGCUUACUACACAGUUAUUGACGCUGAGGCACGAAAGCGUGGGGAUCAAACAGG